UAUAAUAUGUAUUUAUAAAUAAAGCUGUACUAAAUAUGUGUUAUAUAUUUUUCAUGACCAUGAAGCUUUAAUAAUUUUUGUGAGAGAAAUUUGGAGUUUAUAUGUUAAUUUGUACCUUAUGAAUUACAGUACUAGUACCACUUUACAGAAAGGAAAAUGAAGAAAUACUAUACUGCCUCUUUCAUGCCUAUAUAUAAAGCUGCAUCAUGAGGAUUUCGGAGCCAGCAGAUUGAAAAACAGUACUAAAAGCGAGAUCAAAAUAUCAAAGCGUAGGGACUUCUGUCGAAGGUGAGAUGGUGCCGAAGGCCAUGUAUAUUGGUAGCUGCGAUUACAAGCUUUAUAUAGCUAGUCAAUUCAGGCCAGCGAGCUUCAUCCCUCCUCGACUGAAGCCUCUCACGCUUUGAUUCCACGGAAAAGAAACCCAUGUUUAAUUUCUUCGCAAGAUUGGAGAAAGAUCAGAUCUGGCCACCUGCGACGUCCACUUCUACAUAGGCAACGGAGAAACGCACGGCCCGGUCGGUGGGGGUGUUGAUCAUUAGCUUGCUAGCUUGAAGGACUCAAGCACAGAUUUCUUCUGAGAAGGGUAUAUUACUUGUCCAGAUGAAGGCUGAAGGAUGAAGAGCUAAUUGAAGAUCUUCUGUUCACAAGGUUCACCGCAAGUUUUGUAAUUUAACAUGGAUUGCAGUACUAAUUAGGACUUAAAAAUCAUUUAAGCCUGCAACUGGUGUUUUUCUAUUAUCUUUUUCAAGCUUUGGAGAUGGCCUCAAAGCCUUUUCCCCUUAGUUUAAUUAUGGUUUGACUUCCACCAAAUUCAUCUAAUUUGGGAUUCGGACCGUUUAAAUUUGAUCUAACGGCUACAAAUAAGGAGAUCCUUUAAAAGUUAUAAUAACUGUAGCCGUUGGAUCAAAAUCCCACGUCCCGGAUCCCAAACUAGGUGGAUUUGGUGGAAAGGGAUCCAGAGAGGAUCCUUUUCCUGAACUUAGACCAUUUCCAAUGAAGAGGGGUAAAUGUUCAAAAGCCAAAAAA